GAUGAAGAACGUAGCGAAAUGCGAUACGUAAUGUGAAUUGCAGAUUUCAGUGAAUCAUCGAAUCUUUGAACGCACAUUGCGCCCGCCAGUAUUCUGGCGGGCAUGCCUGUUCGAGCGUCAUUUCAACCAUCAAGCGCCUCGCUUGUGUUGGGGCCCUGCGGCUGCCGCAGGCCCCUAAAUCCAGUGGCGGGCUCGUCGUCGUACCGAGUGCAGUAAACAUCCUCGCUCAGGGAACCCGACGGGUGCCGGCCGUGAAACCCCCCUUCCUCAAGGUUGACCUCGGAUCAGGUAGGAAUACCCGCUGAACUUAAGCAUAUCAAUAAGCAGGA
rnacentral:misc_RNA from 1 species